GGGGCCAUAGCUCAGCUGGGAGAGCGCUUGCAUGGCAUGCAAGAGGUCGGGAGUUCGAUCCUCCCUGGCUCCACCA
rnacentral:tRNA from 2 species